rnacentral:rRNA from 1 species
GAUGAACGCUGGCGGCGCGCCUAAUACAUGCAAGUCGAGCGAACGGACGAGAAGCUUGCUUCUCUGAUGUUAGCGGAGGACGGGUGAGUAACACGUGGAUAACCUACCUAUAAGACUGGGAUAACUUCGGGAAACCGGAGCUAAUACCGGAUAAUAUUUUGAACCGCAUGGUUCAAAAGUGAAAGACGGUCUUGCUGUCACUUAUAGAUGGAUCCGCGCUGCAUUAGCUAGUUGGUAAGGUAACGGCUUACCAAGGCAACGAUGCAUAGCCGACCUGAGAGGGUGAUCGGCCACACUGGAACUGAGACACGGUCCAGACUCCUACGGGAGGCAGCAGUAGGGAAUCUUCCGCAAUGGGCGAAAGCCUGACGGAGCAACGCCGCGUGAGUGAUGAAGGUCUUCGGAUCGUAAAACUCUGUUAUUAGGGAAGAACAUAUGUGUAAGUAACUGUGCACAUCUUGACGGUACCUAAUCAGAAAGCCACGGCUAACUACGUG